AUUGAACGCUGGCGGCAGGCCUACCCCAUGCAAGCCGAUCGAGCGGCGGACGGGUGAGUACUGUCUGGGAACCUCCCUGCUGGGGGGGGAUAACUACUGGAAACGGUAGCUAUUACCGCUUACCCUCAGCUUUGCCCAGCUGGGAUUGGCUAGUAGGUGGGGUACCGGCUCCCCUAGGCGACGAUCCCUAGCUGGUCUGAGAGGAUGACCAGCCACACUGGAACUGAGACACGGUCCAGACUCCUACGGGAGGCAGCAGUGGGGAAUAUUGCACAAGGGGCGCAAGCCUGAUGCAGCCAUGCCGCGUGUAUGAAGAAGGCCUUCGGGUUGUAAAGUACUUUCAGCGGGGAGGCGUUACCCGCAGAAGAAGCACCGGCUAACUCCGUGCCAGCAGCCGCGGUAAUUC
rnacentral:rRNA from 1 species